rnacentral:tmRNA from 1 species
GGGGGCGAACAGGCAUCGACGGUUUUGCACCGGCGAUUGCCGCGUGUCGUGGUGCGGGAGGCCACGUAAAUAACCCGCAAAAAACUAAGUGCCGACGAUCACGUCGAGUACGCUCUCGCUGCCUAAUUUAGCAAUAAAUUAGAUAGUGAGACGAGACCAUCCCAUUGCCGAUGCUGGCGAUGGUCUCCCUAAUAAUCAUCGGCUGGCUGAGGGAGUUGUCCGGUUACCCUUGGCGAGAGAUAUCGGGCUGGUCUAUGACUCGGGCUGGCAGUGGCCUUGGUCGUAGAUGAGAACUAAUUUACUGCCUACACACGUAGACGCGUCGUACGAAUAAAGCCGGACCCGGGUUCGAUUCCCGGCGCCUCCACCA